GUGCUGGCUUAAGAAGCACGUAUGCUAAAAUUGGAACCACACAGAGAUGACCAUGACCCCUGUGCAAGGAUGCCGUGCAAAUUCAUGAAGCAUUCCAUAUUUUU
ensembl:snRNA U6 U6 spliceosomal RNA